rnacentral:rRNA from 1 species
UGCAAGUCGUACGAGAAAGCUUCCUUCGGGGAGCGAGUAAAGUGGCGCAAGGGUGAGUAUCACGUGAGUAAUCUGCCCUAAGGACUGGGAUAACCCACCGAAAGGUGAGCUAAUACCGGAUAGAAAUGCGGAGCAUAAGCUUUCGUAUUUAAAGGUGGCCUCUAUUUAUAAGCUAUCGCCUUUGGAUGAGCUCGCGGGCCAUUAGCUUGUUGGCGGGGUAACGGCCCACCAAGGCUACGAUGGCUAGCCGGUUUGAGAGGAUGAUCAGCCACACUGGAACUGAGACACGGUCCAGACUCCUACGGGAGGCAGCAGUGAGGAAUAUUGCGCAAUGGGGGAAACCCUGACGCAGCAACGCCGCGUGGAGGAUGAAGGUUUUCGGACUGUAAACUCCUGUCGGGCGGGAAGAAUCCCCGGUCAGCCAAUACCUGGCCGGGUUGACGGUACCGCCAAAGGAAGCCCCGGCUAACUCUGUGCCAGCAGCCGCGGUAAUACAGGGGGGGCAAGCGUUGUUCGGAAUCAUUGGGCGUAAAGGGCGUGUAGGCGGUCGAUUAAGUCAGAAGUGAAAUCCCCCGGCUCAACCGGGGAACUGCUUUUGAAACUGGUUGACUUGAGUUCGGCAGAGGAAAGCGGAAUUCCCAGUGUAGCGGUGAAAUGCGUAGAUAUUGGGAAGAACACCAGA